rnacentral:rRNA from 1 species
UCACAGCCAUAUCUCCCUGUAGUUCUCACCUGGGUUCCCACUAAAGCUAAGUAGGGUUGAGCCUGGCCAGUACCUGGAUAGGAGACCUCCUGGGGAAAAACUAAGAUUGCUGUUGGAA